GCUCUUGUAGCUCAAUAGGUAGAGCACGGUGCUAAUAACGCCGGGGUAGUGGGUUCGAAACCCACCAAGAGCU
rnacentral:tRNA from 1 species